AGAGUUUGAUCCUGGCUCAGGAUGAACGCUGACAGAAUGCUUAACACAUGCAAGUCGAUUCAAGUUACCUUCGGGUAAUGAGGAUGGCGGACGGGUGAGUAACGCGUAAGGAACUUGCCUCUUGGUCUGGGACAACUGUUGGAAACGACAGCUAAUACCGGAUAUUAUGAGAUUCUCGCAUGGGAAACUUAUGAAAGCUAUAUGCGCCAAGAGAGAGCCUUGCGUUCCAUUAGCUAGUUGGUGGGGUAACGGCCCACCAAGGCGACGAUGGAUAGCCGGCCUGAGAGGGUGAACGGCCACAAGGGGACUGAGACACGGCCCUUACUCCUACGGGAGGCAGCAGUGGGGAAUAUUGGACAAUGGGCCACAAGCCUGAUCCAGCAAUUCUGUGUGCACGAUGAAGGUCUUCGGAUUGUAAAGUGCUUUCAGUUGGGAAGAAGAAAGUGACGGUACCAACAGAAGAAGCGACGGCUAAAUACGUGCCAGCAGCCGCGGUAAUACGUAUGUCGCAAGCGUUAUCCGGAUUUAUUGGGCGUAAAGCGCGUCUAGGCGGAAAAAUAAGUCUGAUGUUAAAAUGCGGNG
rnacentral:rRNA from 1 species